rnacentral:tRNA from 1 species
AAAAAGCCGGAAUAGCUCAUUGGUAAUCGAUCGGAGUGAAAAUCCUCGUGUCACCAGUU